UCGGAAGUGCAGACACCUAGGAAUCCCUUAAGUCGAUAUUUUAGAAAAAAAGAGAAAUCCUAGAAAAUUCUCAGAAAAAAGUAAAACAUCUAGCGUCCUAGGUGGACACUUUAGAAAAAAAAGAGAAAUCUCAGAAAAUUCUUGUAAAAAAGCAAAAUAUCUAGCCAUCAAUUCGCUAGGCUCAAUCAUUAUAGCCAUUGGAUUUAAUAUAUUUUCUAAAAAAAUUAUCCACCUAUGAAAAUAGUCUAAAAUAAUUCCUAAAUCUAUAUCUAAAUUACCCACCUAUGCCAUUAUAUAAAAUAAACUAAAGUAACUGCUUAUCUUCAUCUAAAUUACCCACCUAUACCAUUAUAAAAAGUAAUUUAAAAUAACCCCUUAAAUUUGCAUCUAAAUUGCCCACCACUAACAUUAUAAAAAAUAAUUGUAUCUAAAUCACCCACGUAUACCAUUAUGAAAAUUUGAAAAUCACUUUCAUUAAAAAUAUACCCAGAGGGCAGAGGUACAUCAAUAUAUGAUUUUAAAGUAUAUACACGUGAUGUCUAUCACCAUUUAUAAAUAUAUAGAGGAAGCGAUGAGGAUAUAGAUUUUCAUGUUAAAAUAUAGCUCAAAUUUAGAGUCCAUAAAGAAAUUCAAGCGCAUACAUACAAUGUAAAGUGAAAAGAAAGAAAGAAUCUAAAUAUGGAUGAAAACAUCAUAGAGUAAUUACUAACUAAAGACUAUCAGAAUCGGUUGAAGAUAAUAAUUAUAUAUUUAUGUAAGUAUUAUGUUGGCAUAUUUAACAAAUAAGAGAGAGCUCAAGGUAACAAUUUUGAUAGUAAGCUAUGUGCCCUUAUUUUUCUAAAAUUUGAGACUGCGCAUUAAUUUUCACAAGAUGCAUUAAAAAAUUCUUACAAAAUUCAAAAAUAUCUGAGCAUCAGGCUCUAGUAAUCAUAGCCAUUAGUCUAUUAUGUUUUCUAAAAUUUACCCACCACUAUUAUUGUGAAAAUAUUUUAAUAGCAUAUGUGACAUACUUCCUCCAUCC
rnacentral:lncRNA from 1 species